CACCAGGUUUGUGUAACACAAAUUUAAUGAUUCGUACUCUAAUACAAAUGACACACACAUCUUACACACACCUCAAACAACCGCAAUAAUCCCUGUAUUUAAAUGAUUGAGUUCAUUUCAGUAAUAUGGAUAAAGAUAGAUGGUAAGGGAGGGGGCAUGCAUGAUUAAAGGUCUGCCUGAUUAAAGGUCUUAAAUAAGUCGCUCAAGUAUAUAUGUGUGUGUAGGUGUGUGUGUGUGCGCUUCUAAGCUUUGAAGACAAAUUCGUACCUCAUUAUGUCAUAAAAUGAACUCUCUUCAAAUGUCUGCCAAUAUCGCCUCAAAAACUGUUGCGAGAAAGAAGCCCAUCCUGGCUGCAACCUACUACAAUAUUGCCAUGUUGGUAUUCUGUUGCCAAAUAAAUGCUUAAGAAAAACAUUUAAACAAAAUGAUAAUGUGUGACUGCUCAUGAAGUGUGCCAAUAAUUCUGCAGGGCUGUAUAUUGCAUAUAAAACUGCCAUGCACUCUGCUGUUUUGUGGUAAAUUUGACUUGACAGUGAAUAGGAUACAGACAAAUAUAGCGAGCGACAGCAUCACAACUGUCACAGGAUACAUUUUCUUCUGUCAUAAAAUGUUGGUUUUACACACAGGCAGCAGGCACCACAUUUCUCUGUAAUUUGAUACUGUUUGACAGCAUCUGAACACACAGUACUUUUGAUAUGGUCGGGAAGAAUCUCGGAAAAGGACAAAUACUCAUGUACGUGCCUUUGUAGGGUGUUUGCAAGUGUGUAUGUGUGUGUGCAUGUAUGUGUUUCUGACUCACUGCAGCCUAGAUACAGCUGUCAAGUGUGUGUGUUGUGGAUGAGGAGGGUUAGGAGGGUCCUUAUGUGUGUUAACCAGUGAAGCAGCAGUAUGUGCUAAAAUGUGGGAGUAGCAGAAAGAAAAAGUGGUCAAACUUUCAUCCAAUUCAGCCAGCCGUGGUCAUUAUCAACCCACACACUCUUAAGAGAGAACUUUUUAACAAGGCUUUGUUCACUGUAAUUGCUUUGCUCUGACUGUAUUUUAGUCUGUGAAUGUGUGCAUGUCUAACAGUAUGACCUGAACAAAUUGGUGUUCUUUAUUUCAGAAAGUGGUAGAUGAAGGAGGUCCAUUAAAGAAAUGAAUUAAAGGAGAUUCACUAUAGAAAGCAGCAUAUUGUGAUUCUGACCGUUGUGCACUAUCUACUUGACUCUGUUGGAUCUAGCUUUGUUGGACCAGCACCCACCUACCUGCCUAAAGCACUUAUCACACCCUGCAUUGCAUUAUGCACCGUCUGAUCCUCUAGCACUGCUUGACUGAACCCACCAUUUCUCAAGGUACACAGAAUGCAUGCAUCAAGACUUGAUGCCCAAUAAUCUCAGUCACUAAAUGUCUUCAAAUGUCUUACCUAAAUUAACAAUUUGUUAUUAUUUAAAAAUAUAUUGUGUUGUCUGUGUGUUUUUCAUAAUAUACUACAUCCCCAACAGGUUUUUAAGCAAACUAAUAGUACUCUUAGUCUAUGACGUAUUGAACCAGUAUCAGGAUGUAUUGAUUGACAGAGACCUCAAAGCACUUCUGCUCUGGAUACACAGCGACCUGCCAUCUCUUGCUGACUCACUACUGUGCAGCAAUACACAGCUCGAAUCACAUCAUCAAGUUCGGAGAUGACACUACCAUGGUGGGUCUGAUCAGCAAGAAUGAUAAUUCAGCAUACAGAGAGGAGGCUAACAGUCUGGUGGAGAGCCAAGAAUCUGUCUCUGAACAUGGACAAAACAAAAGAGAUGGUUGUUGACCACUGUGAGUGACCACUCUCCGCUGAACAUUGGCGGUUUCUCUGUGGAGAUUGCCAAGACCUCACCUGGUCCCUCAACACCAGCUCCAUAACCAAGAAAGCCCAGCAGCACCUCUUCUUUCUGCGAAGGCCCAUCUCCCACCCACCAUCCUCACCACAUUCUACAGUGGAACUAUCAAGAGCAUCUUGAGUAGCUGCAUCACUGCCUGGUUUGGAAAUCGCACCGUCUCAGAUUACAAGACCGUGCAACGGAUAGUGAGGACAGCUGAGAAGAUCAUCAGGGUCUCUCUUCUUGCCAUCAUAGACAUUUAAAACUCACGCUGCAUCUGCAAAGCCACCAGCAUUCUGGAUAACCCUACACACCCCUCACACAAACGCUUCACCAUCCUGUCAACUGGCAAAAGGUACUGAAGCAUUCAGGCCAUCCCACUCCCCUUGCAAUAUUUGCACAUUUCUAUAAUGUUUAAGUGAAUUUUGGCUCCUACUGUAUUUAUAAAAAUAUCCUAUUUAAUUUCUUGUCACUAUUAUACUCCCUGCAAUAACUGAUAUGUACAUAUAUGGUAUAAGCUUAUCUGCUGAAUACUAUGUAUGCUAGUAUGUUAUGUUCACAUUCACAUUUUUAUUAUAUUGUCAUUCUUUUGCACUACCUGUUAUAUCGGACACUUUCACACUAGAAAUGUGUACUGGUCAACGCAGCACUGUCAUUUAUUGUGCCUAUUGUCCUGUUUAUUGUACUGUCUUCUGCUGUUUGCACACGUUGCAUUUGCAGUUUACGUAGAAAUGUGUAAGUCUUAUUUAGUUCUAUGUAGUCUCUUGUACUCGUGUGUUAUUUUAUGUAGCACCAUGGUCCUAGAGGAACGUUGUUCAUUUCACUGUGUACUGUAUAAGCUGUAUAUGUUUGAAAUGACAAUAAAGCCACUUGACAAUAAAGCCACCUGACCCUGAGCAGAAUAAAGUGCUUACUGGUGACUGAAUAAAAAUUAUCCACGUGAUUCCCAGUAGAUCAGUACUGCACGAGAAAAUGUUUGGGGAAAUAUGGAUAAUACAGAUUACCAUCAGAGAAAUCAUGGCUUCAAGGAUGUUUCCUGUACUUCCUGUUCAUUUUUGUGUAUUGCAGAAAUUGUUAAACCAUGUUUGCAUGUAUUGAUUUAAAAAAAAUUUCCCAAGGGGUUUAAUUAAACUGGCCUGGGAAAAGCUACAGGAAGAGGAUGCUAACAAUCUUACUAAUCAAAUAAGGUUAUAACAAUCUUCUAAGUGGUCUCACUGUUUCUGCAGUGUAGGCGAUAUUUUUGUCUUCAUUCUCAAUGCAUAAAAUGAAUCACUAUCCUUAUUUUGAUACAGUUUCUGCAGAAUGACUCAGACCAGUGUGUUAGCUGAAAUAAUACUUGAACAUCUGUGAGAUGUACCAGAUGUACCUCAUCUCUCUGCUGCAUAAACGUUAGCUAAAUAUUUUUCUCCUGUAUGUACAAAACUUUUUUUUGAUUCAAGUUAUAUUCUUUCACUGAAAUAGCUAUUAUAUUUCACAAUGUUCUUAUUGAAAAAGAAGUCAUAGUCAUGGGCCAGUGCAAUAGAAAUAUAAUGAAGUGUCAAAUGUUAUAAAAAGAAACGCAGUCAAUAUACAUCCAUCCAUCCAUCCGUACAGAGUGUCUAAAAACCACGUCAA